AGCAGUGUAGCAUAGUGGUAAGGAGCCUGACUUGUAAUCAAAUGGUUGCUGGUUCAAUUCCCUGCUGGGACACUGCUG